AGGGGUGUUUAAGGGCGCCGUUCAAAACAUUUAUAUAUUUAUCUCCAGCAACAGUCAAGUGCCUAUUAGAUAUGAGGGAAAAGGCCCUGUUGGAAGGCUGCAGGCCUGCCGUUUUUGUCUCAGUAGAGAAUAAACUCCUGGGACAUUUCAUCUUUGGAUACUACAGAGCCUGAUAUUAAUUGCAUGUUGGGAGAACUGUGUCCCUGGGAUCUUUUUGGAUUCAGUGUCCUGCGUCCUUGCCAGUGUCUCCUGAUUUGCUGAUCUUCAGUGAUCUCCAAUCUCAAAUAACAGCCCCGACAACCAAUACAUGAGCCUUAGACACUGAGUUGUCACUUGAAGAUUCAACUACCUCUUCAUUCAACACACAAGACCAGAGAGCUAACUCCCUUCCCUAACACCACACACCAAAGAAGAGAAGGAGAACUUUGCAAAUCAGGACUAUCAUAGAUGAAUCCAGCUUAUAGGCCAGAAGGUAAACUAGAUGACUAAACAUGAGGUGUGCUGCAUAAUGCUUGCAUAAGAAUAUCUUUGCUGAAUAAACUGCAUGAGUUUACGUCAUCAGUAUGCUGGUGGACUAAAUGAGUUAACGAAUCCCUAAAGAAAAUAAGUCAUUGAAAGUAUGUGUCCAUAUAAUUAAACAUUAAGUUAUAAAUGUUAAUAUUAUUACUUUCAAUAGCCAAAUGUUUGCCAUUUUAUAGGAAAAAUAACCUCUAUAAUCUCCAGAAGCGAGCUACCAUUCAUAUAAAGAAAAACCUUAAAAAAU
rnacentral:lncRNA from 1 species